GCCCUAGGCUUUGGGAUAACCCCGGGAAACCGGGGCUAAUACCGAAUAGGACCUUCGGUCGCAUGACUGUUGGUGGAAAGUUUUUCGGCCUGGGAUGGGCUCGCGGCCUAUCAGCUUGUUGGUGGGGUGAUGGCCUACCAAGGCGACGACGGGUAGCCGGCCUGAGAGGGCGACCGGCCACACUGGGACUGAGACACGGCCCAGACUCCUACGGGAGGCAGCAGUGGGGAAUAUUGCACAAUGGGCGGAAGCCUGAUGCAGCGACGCCGCGUGAGGGAUGACGGCCUUCGGGUUGUAAACCUCUUUCAGCAGGGACGAAGCGUAAGUGACGGUACCUGCAGAAGAAGCGCCGGCCAACUACGUGCCAGCAGCCGCGGUAAGACGUAGGGCGCGAGCGUUGUCCGGAUUUAUUGGGCGUAAAGAGCUCGUAGGCGGCUUGUCGCGUCGACUGUGAAAACCCGCAGCUCAACUGCGGGCCUGCAGUCGAUACGGGCAGGCUAGAGUUCGGUAGGGGAGACUGGAAUUCCUGGUGUAGC
rnacentral:rRNA from 1 species